GGUGCAAAAACCAAUAAAAAUGCUUAUUUGGGCCCCUUUUUGGCCCCUAAUUCCUAAACUGUUGGGACCUUAACUUCCAAAAUCAAUCCCAACCUUCCUUUUGUGGUCAUAAACCUUGUGUUAUUGUUAUUGGGGUGUGCUUGACUUUAGUGACUCAGCAUGAGUAGGUGGUUUAGGACUUUUUGUAAACAAUAAACGCAGCACAUCAUAGAGAAACAAGUCGGGACUAUGUUUAACAGGUUGGGAACAACCCCUCAAUGUAAUGACUGUCCAUUUUAUCAUAGGUACAUUUCAAGUGAUAAUUUUAUUUUUUUUUAUACAAAAAACACUUUUUAGUACAAAUAAGCAUUUAUUAACUUAUUU
rnacentral:lncRNA from 1 species